rnacentral:lncRNA from 1 species
AAAGGGAGUACAACUCUUAUAAGUCAAGCACAAGUCUAUACACUGUACACUAUCUCUUUAUAUUCAUGUCCACACUAGCUAUUACAGCACUCUUCUUCUUCCAUACCCUGCUGGACUUCCUCUGGACUCUGAACCUGCACAACUGGGGUUAGGGGAGAGGGAUGAGCUAUACAAGCCCAAUGAGUAGAACUAUAAAACAUGGUAUUAAAACAUGAUCUCAUGGAAUGCAUCACAUCACAGACAUUUCAUCUCAAGGAUAGACAUGACCACCAAAAUUCCCACUGGAAGGAUGCCUGGCCCAGCCAGGUCUUACAUCCUCAAUUUGCCUGGCCCGGCCAGGUCUUACAAACUCUGCUCGCCUGGCCCAGCCAGGUCUUACGAUAAUCUGCUGCCUGGCCUAGCCAGGUCUUACCUACAGAAGGCUGCCUGGCCCAGCCAGGUCUUACACAGAGUUAGGGCUAUUGGGGUCGCCUUGGUCCAUCCAUCUCAUCAUAUACAUCGUAUUAUGCAAUGCGCCAUAUUCGUGAAACUAGUGCAAUCAACCUACUAUAGUCAUCAUGAUGCAUGCCACAUGCUAAAAGCAUUUUAGUUCUGACAAGAGAAGUUUCACUCACCUCUGGCUGACUCUGGACUACCUCUGCAGGUUCUGAACCUGUGCUCACUGCUGACUUCCCUGAUUCCUCUGGUCCGUUCCUACACAGGUGGACUCAAAUGAGGGACCAAACGAACUCAAGAACCGCUCUAAGAAACUCCCCAAAAGCCCUCUAAAAGAUCCUAAAACAAUCACAGAAAACAUGCAAAAGAAAGCUAGACAGGGCACUUUCGGCGGCAUGUUCAACGGCCGAAACCCCUCUCCAGAGACGAAACUCAUGCAUGUUCGGCGGCACCUUCGGCAGCCGAAAGUCUCGUCCAGAGACGAACCUCAACCUUCGGCGGCACUUUCGGCGGCCGAACCUUGCCUCCAGAGACGAAAGUCCAAAUGUUCGGGGGCAAGCUUUGGCAGCCGAAACUGCCUCCACAAGGGGUUCGGCGGCCGAAUCUUCCUUCGGCGGCCGAACCUGGCUUUGUCCAGUGGACAGAACCCUGCUCUGUUUCAUGCAAAACUCUCCCAAACUUUACCCAACCAUGCAUAUCAACUACUCUCAACUAGCACAUACCAUAUACCAUGCAUAAAGAGGUCCAAAACUCUCCUAAACCUCAACCAAACACAUCAAACAACACUUAACAUGCUUGUACAUAAACAUCUCCCAUAAACCUCAUCUAAACCUAAUCAUGCAUACUACCCAUCCAACUCCCAUAAAACCUUCAAAAACCAUCAAAGAAGUUCAGGAUCAACCCUUACCUCCUUAAGAACUUGAGGAUGAGUGAUCCUAACGUGGAGAUAGGGAGAAAACCUCUUCCAAAGCUCCAAGCUUCAAAACUUACUAUUUUUGCUCAAAACCUUCAAAACACACCAAAACUCUUAAAACCCUUGAAAGAUUUGGUGAAAAACAUGAAAAACAUGAAAGUCAACUUGGGAGGGGCUGGAACUCACCUCUGGCUGCAAGUGGAGGAGAAAUAUCCUCUUUCCACCGACCGUUGGCCCUUUUAUAGGUGGCUGGC